rnacentral:rRNA from 1 species
UUUGAUCCUGGCUCAGAUUGAACGCUGGCGGCAUGCCUUACACAUGCAAGUCGAACGGCAGCGCGGGAGCAAUCCUGGCGGCGAGUGGCGAACGGGUGAGUAAUACAUCGGAACGUGCCCAAUCGUGGGGGAUAACGCAGCGAAAGCUGUGCUAAUACCGCAUACGAUCUACGGAUGAAAGCAGGGGAUCGCAAGACCUUGCGCGAAUGGAGCGGCCGAUGGCAGAUUAGGUAGUUGGUGAGGUAAAGGCUCACCAAGCCUUCGAUCUGUAGCUGGUCUGAGAGGACGACCAGCCACACUGGGACUGAGACACGGCCCAGACUCCUACGGGAGGCAGCAGUGGGGAAUUUUGGACUAUGGGCGAAAGCCUGAUCCAGCCAUGCCGCGUGCAGGAUGAAGGCCUUCGGGUUGUAACUGCUUUUGUACGGAACGAAAAGUCUCUUUCUAAUAAAGAGGGAUCAUGACGGUACCGUAAGAAUAAGCACCGGCUAACUACGUGCCAGCAGCCGCGGUAAUACGUAGGGUGCAAGCGUUAAUCGGAAUUACUGAGCGUAAAGCGUGCGCAGGCGGUUAUGUAAGACAGUUGUGGAAUCCCCGGGCUCAACCUGGGAACUGCAUCUGUGACUGCAUAGCUAGAGUACGGUAGAGGGGGAUGGAAUUCCGCGUGUAGCAGUGAAAUGCGUAGAUAUGCGGAGGAACACCGAUGGCGAAGGCAAUCCCCUGGACCUGUACUGACGCUCAUGCACGAAAGCGUGGGGAGCAAACAGGAUUAGAUACCCUGGUAGUCCACGCCCUAAACGAUGUCAACUGGUUGUUGGGUCUUCACUGACUCAGUAACGAAGCUAACGCGUGAAGUUGACCGCCUGGGGAGUACGGCCGCAAGGUUGAACCUCAAAGGAAUUGACGGGGACCCGCACAAGCGGUGGAUGAUGUGGUUUAAUUCGAUGCAACGCGAAAAACCUUACCCACCUUUGACAUGUACGGAAUUUGCCAGAGAUGGCUUAGUGCUUGAAAGAGAGCCGUAACACAGGUGCUGCAUGGCUGUCGUCAGCUCGUGUCGUGAGAUGUUGGGUUAAGUCCCGCAACGAGCGCAACCCUUGUCAUUAGUUGCUACAUUUAGUUGGGCACUCUAAUGAGACUGCCGGUGACAAACCGGAGGAAGGUGGGGAUGACGUCAAGUCCUCAUGGCCCUUAUAGGUGGGGCUACACACGUCAUACAAUGGCUGGUACAAAGGGUUGCCAACCCGCGAGGGGGAGCUAAUCCCAUAAAACCAGUCGUAGUCCGGAUCGCAGUCUGCAACUCGACUGCGUGAAGUCGGAAUCGCUAGUAAUCGUGGAUCAGAAUGUCACGGUGAAUACGUUCCCGGGUCUUGUACACACCGCCCGUCACACCAUGGGAGCGGGUUCUGCCAGAAGUAGUUAGCCUAACCGCAAGGAGGGCGAUUACCACGGCAGGGUUCGUGACUGGGGUGAAGUCGUAACAAGGUA